rnacentral:rRNA from 1 species
AACGAACGCUGGCGGCAUGCCUAACACAUGCAAGUCGAACGAAGUCUUCGGACUUAGUGGCGCACGGGUGCGUAACGCGUGGGAAUCUGCCCUUGGGUGCGGAAUAACUUCUCGAAAGGGAUGCUAAUACCGCAUAAUGUCGUAAGACCAAAGAUUUAUCGCCCAAGGAUGAGCCCGCGUAAGAUUAGCUAGUUGGUGGGGUAAAAGCCUACCAAGGCGACGAUCUUUAGCUGGUCUGAGAGGAUGAUCAGCCACACUGGGACUGAGACACGGCCCAGACUCCUACGGGAGGCAGCAGUGGGGAAUAUUGGACAAUGGGCGAAAGCCUGAUCCAGCAAUGCCGCGUGAGUGAUGAAGGCCUCGGUUGGUAAGCUCUUUACUUCGGGUACGAGUAAUAGACGGUACCGAGAG